rnacentral:rRNA from 1 species
GGCUCAGAGUGAACGCUGGCGGCAGGCCUAAUACAUGCAAGUCGAACGGCAGCACGGCAGAGCUUGCUCUGUGGGUGGCGAGUGGCGGACGGGUGAGGAAUACAUGGGAAUCUGCCCAGUCGUGGGGGAUAACGUAGGGAAACUUACGCUAAUACCGCAUGCGCCCUUCGGGGGAAAGCCGGGGACCUUCGGGCCUGGCGCGAUUGGAUGAGCCCAUGUCGGAUUAGCUAGUUGGCGGGGUAAUGGCCCACCAAGGCGACGAUCCGUAGCUGGUCUGAGAGGAUGAUCAGCCACACUGGAACUGAGACACGGUCCAGACUCCUACGGGAGGCAGCAGUAGGGAAUAUUGGACAAUGGGCGCAAGCCUGAUCCAGCCAUGCCGCGUGAGUGAAGAAGGCCCUCGGGUUGUAAAGCUCUUUUGUCCGGAAAGAAAAGCGCCGGGUUAAUACCCUGGUGUCCUGACGGUACCGGAAGAAUAAGCACCGGCUAACUUCGUG